GACGAACGCUGGCGGCGUGCCUAAUACAUGCAAGUUGAGCGAUGAAGAUUGGUGCUUGCACCAAUUUGAAGAGCAGCGAACGGGUGAGUAACGCGUGGGGAAUCUGCCUUUGAGCGGGGGACAACAUUUGGAAACGAAUGCUAAUACCGCAUAACAACUUUAAACAUAAGUUUUAAGUUUGAAAGAUGCAAUUGCAUCACUCAAAGAUGAUCCCGCGUUGUAUUAGCUAGUUGGUGAGGUAAAGGCUCACCAAGGCGAUGAUACAUAGCCGACCUGAGAGGGUGAUCGGCCACAGUGGGACUGAGACACGGCCCAAACUCCUACGGGAGGCAGCAGUAGGGAAUCUUCGGCAAUGGACGAAAGUCUGACCGAGCAACGCCGCGUGAGUGAAGAAGGUUUUCGGAUCGUAAAACUCUGUUGGUAGAGAAGAACGUUGGUGAGAGUGGAAAGCUCAUCAAGUGACGAUAACUACCCAGAAAGGGACGGCUAACUACGUG
rnacentral:rRNA from 1 species